rnacentral:rRNA from 1 species
GUAGGUGGCAAGCGUUGUCCGGGAAUUAUUGGGGCGUAAAGCGCGCGCAGGCGGUUCUUUAAGUCUGAUGUGAAAGCCCACGGGCUCAACCGUGGAGGGUCAUUGGAAACUGGAGAACUUGAGUACAGAAGAGGAAAGCGGAAUUCCACGUGUAGCGGUGAAAUGCGUAGGGAUGUGGAGGAACACCAGUGGCGAAGGCGGCUUUCUGGUCUGUAACUGACGCUGAGGCGCGAAAGCGUGGGGAGCAAACAGGAUUAGAUACCCUGGUAGUCCACGCCGUAAACGAUGAGUGCUAAGUGUUAGGGGGUUUCCGCCCCUUAGUGCUGCAGCUAACGCAUUAAGCACUCCGCCUGGGGAGUACGGCCGCAAAGGCUGA